rnacentral:rRNA from 1 species
UACGUAGGGUGCAAGCGUUGUCCGGAAUCAUUGGGCGUAAAGCGCGCGUAGGUGGCCCUGUAAGUCCGCUGUGAAAGUCAAAGGCUCAACCUUUGAAAGCCGGUGGAUACUGCAGGGCUAGAGUACGGAAGAGGCGAGUGGAAUUCCUGGUGUAGCGGUGGAAUGCGCAGAUAUCAGGAGGAACACCGGUGGCGAAGGCGGGUCUCUGGGCCGAUACUGACGCUGAGGAGCGAAAGCGUGGGGAGCGAACAGG